CCACGUUCGACUGCCUCCUUCGUCCUCUCUGGCGGGAUUGCGAGCCAGCGAGCAGCUGGAGAGCGAGAGUAGGAGACUUCUUCUCCUCCUCCUCUCCACUGCUUCCUUCCGCUCUGUUCUCUCCAUCUAUCUCUUUGAUCUCCUCCUGUGGCCUUCUGAAAGGGAGAAUUCUAUUUGUUUCAGGGUAUUUGUCUAGUGAAGUAUUUUAGGCCCUGCUGUUCUUUAGAAAUGGAGUACUUAAUGAGCGUGAUGGCACAUUCUUCAGUUACAUAUGUUGCCAAAGCAAGGCCGAGAUGCAAUGGAAAGAAUUUGGAGGAUGAAAUGAAGGAACUGGGAAAGUUGAGAACAGCUAUCAUGAUGGAAAAAUGCCAGACUAGGGAUGAAGUCAUCAUCUGUCCAAUACCAAGGAAAAGAAACACCGGGACCAUCCUUGUGUCAAGCAGAGACCAUAAUGAGCUAAAAGUUGUAGCAGAUCCUGAUAUUCUUAUGAGCAAGGCUUCACCACCCUGCUUUUCUUGUUCUCCACCAAUCAGAGCAAGCAAUCCUCUCAUUCGAGAUGCUCAUUUCGGUGAGCCAAGGGUGCAAAAGUGUCUCCCAAGUGCCAAUUAUUGAUAAACUUUCCAAGGAUUUGGAUGUGCCUAUUGCGACUCCACCAUGCAAAAUAUCAGGACAAUGGCUUGAAAUUCCUACCUCCAAUUCAAAUAAUUCAAGGGGGAUACUUUUCCUUACCCUGAAACUUUGUCAAGGUUUUUGCUUCCAUCUGCAAGUUGGAUGGUGUAUAUAUCAGAUUUUCGUUCUGAGGCUUCUUAAGUUAUAUUGUUUUCAUCAUGUGGGCGAUCAUGUAUGUAUUUUGAUGGCCACAGUCUAUGAUCAUGAGCCAAUUUUGGUGAACAACAAGCCCAAAAAUUUUGCUUAGCUGGCAAUGUUGCAGGGGUACCUAUUCUACUUUGUGAUAUAAAUAUUUUAAGAUCCUGGCUAAUAAAUUCUUUCUCUGAGAAUGAUGGAUGUAUUU